GCCCUUUACAGGCCUGUAAGCGCCAUUGAUGUACAUGUAAGAGGGUAUUAAAGUUUCGCUAUUCAUGUCUUCUGUUGCGGAAGGAGUCUUUGGCAUAACACAGCAGUCACUCUGCUCCACAACCAAGGAAAUCACAUUCCUUCUCACAGACGACUCAAUUUCACACCCUCAGCUGGAUUAAGAGGACUCUCUGCUCCGGGCCUGCACAGGAAAAAAGGACACAAUAGCAUCCACUCCUCUGAAGUGUUGCUGAAAACAUUUUAUCCAUCACAGCCGCUAGCGAGGCCCUCAACUCUGCAAGGAGUGGAAAGCAAUAAGAGGAUGACCCACUUUCUGUGCUUGGCCAGGCUUGUGCUGCUGCUGUCUGCCGUGCUGUGCUGCUAAAGGGGGGAGAUCCCUGCAGACUCCAGGAGAACAGGCUCUCUCCUCCUGACAGACACUCCUCGCCGUGGCGUGUUAUCCCCCCGGUGGACGGGAGACCCUCUG
rnacentral:lncRNA from 1 species